UGCUCUUAGCGACUGGAGGAAAAAAGGUUUAAUCCACGCAUAUGGAAAGGCUUUUUCACAGUAAAAGCUGUGAAAAUGUGGAAUAGGCUACCUCAGG